UACGUAGGUGGCAAGCGUUGUCCGGAUUUACUGGGCGUAAAGAGCGCGCAGGCGGUCGAUUUAGUCGUGUGUGAAAGCCCCCGGCUCAACUGGGGAGGGUCACGCGAUACUGAUCGACUCGAAGGCAGGAGAGGGUAGUGGAAUUCCCGGUGUAGUGGUGAAAUGCGCAGAUAUCAGGAGGAACACCGGAGGCGAAGGCGGGUCUCUGGGACGGUACUGACGCUGAGACGCGAAAGCGUGGGGAGCGAACAGG
rnacentral:rRNA from 1 species